rnacentral:pre_miRNA from 1 species
AAAAAGGCAAACCCUGGAUUUUCGUGUUCAACUUUGACUAUCCGUCUUAUAUGAAAUUUUUUUAUAAUUCGUAUUUUCAUUGUUGUUAGAUGAUAAAACAUGAUUAAUAUUUUAUGCGUGACUUGUCUUUUUAAUUUUUUUCAUAACUUUUUUAAAUAAGACGGACGGUCAAAUAUUAGACACGGAAAC